GUAUUGCUGAAGAGUCCCAAACUAGGGCGGAACAGCUGUCCAGUAC
rnacentral:hammerhead_ribozyme from 1 species